UACGAAGGGGGCUAGCGUUGCUCGGAAUCACUGGGCGUAAAGGGUGCGUAGGCGGGUCUUUUAAGUCAGGGGUGAAAUCCUGGAGCUCAACUCCAGAACUGCCUUUGAUACUGAAGAUCUUGAGUUCGGGAGAGGUGAGUGGAACUGCGAGUGUAGAGGUGAAAUUCGUAGAUAUUCGGAAGAACACCAGUGGCGAAGGCGGCUCACUGGUCCGGUACUGACGCUGAGGCACGAAAGCGUGGGGAGCAAACAGG
rnacentral:rRNA from 1 species